rnacentral:rRNA from 1 species
CUACGGGAGGCAGCAGUGGGGAAUAUUGCACAAUGGGCGCAAGCCUGAUGCAGCCAUGCCGCGUGUAUGAAGAAGGCCUUCGGGUUGUAAAGUACUUUCAGCGGGGAGGAAGGGAGUAAAGUUAAUACCUUUGCUCAUUGACGUUACCCGCAGAAGAAGCACCGGCUAACUCCGUGCCAGCAGCCGCGGUAAUACGGAGGGUGCAAGCGUUAAUCGGAAUUACUGGGCGUAAAGCGCACGCAGGCGGUUUGUUAAGUCAGAUGUGAAAUCCCCGGGCUCAACCUGGGAACUGCAUCUGAUACUGGCAAGCUUGAGUCUCGUAGAGGGGGGUAGAAUUCCAGAUGUAGCGGUGAAAUGCGUAGAGAUCUGGAGGAAUACCGGUGGCGAAGGCGGCCCCCUGGACGAAGACUGACGCUCAGGUGCGAAAGCGUGGGGAGCAAACAGGAUUAGAUACCCGUGUAGUC